GGAUAGCUCAGUUGAUUAGAGCAGGGGGCUGAUAAUACCAAGGUUGCAGGUUCAAUCCCCACGUGGGACA